rnacentral:rRNA from 1 species
UACGUAGGGACCAAGCGUUGUCCGGAAUCAUUGGGCGUAAAGCGCGCGUAGGCGGCCCGGUAAGUCCGUUGUAAAAGUCAAAGGCUCAACCUUUGAAUGCCGAUGGAUACUGCCGGGCUAGAGUCCGGAAGAGGCGAGUAGAAUUCCUGGUGUAGCGGUGGAAUGCGCAGAUAUCAGGAGGAAUACCCAUAGCGAAGGCAGCUCGCUGGGACGGUACUGACGCUAAGGAGCGAAAGCGUGGGGAGCGAACAGG